rnacentral:lncRNA from 1 species
GUACAUGUCUUCAAAGCACAGGAGCUGAGCUGAAUCUGGAGCUGAGCAUGAGGUUACGGUCUAGUCCCUGCUGGGCUUGAGAACGUGUGACUCUGGAUAAUGCAUUUGCAUUCUUUAACUGAAUUUUAUAACUGAGGCUAAGGCAGUGAGAAGAGGGGACACAUUCCAGAGACACCGAAGAAAUAGACAUCCCAUGGCUUGGUGACUUGGGCCAGGUGAUGAACCAGCCUAGGAUGGCUCAGAAUCUGACAGUGACACCAGAAUGACAAGUCAGAAGGGAAAGUGAAGGAUUCAGCCUUUACAAGGCGUGACUUCUUAAUCCUGUAUUGACAUGGAAUGAUACUCUAGUCAUCUUGGCUUGAUCUAGUGUGCCUCAUUGUCCUGAUCAGAAAAAUCAGAAACUUUGGGGGACCUGAAACAUCAUCUCUCUGGACUUGUUGCAAAGAUGGAAGGUAACACCCUGGAGAUGGUAGAGCAUUGAGACGAGAAGAGUGUGGGUCAUUGAAGACUUCAUGAAACACAGCAGCCACACACCAGCUCUGGACUGCCCCACCCUGACUUUGACAUUAGAGAAGUAAACUUCAUUUUCUUGAGCUACUGUGAUUUGAAAUCUUUGUUACCUACAGCUGGGGCUAAU